rnacentral:rRNA from 1 species
AUUGAACGCUAGCGGGAUGCUUUACACAUGCAAGUCGAACGAGUGGCGGACGGGUGAGUAAUAUAUCGGAAGUGCCCAGUAGCGGGGGAUAACUACUGGAAACGGUAGCUAAUACCGCAUACUAUCGGAUAACCCAUAGGGGAUUAGCUAGUAGGUGAGGUAAUGGCUCACCUAGGUGACGAUCCCUAGCUGGUCUGAGAGGCUGAUCGGCCACACUGGGACUGAGACACGGCCCAGACUCCUACGGAGGCAGCAGGGGGGAAUAUUGGGCAAUGGGCGGAAGCCUGAUGCAGCCAUGCCGCGUGAAUGAAGAAGGCCCUAGGGUUGUAAAGUACUUUCAUUCGGGAGGCGUUACCGACAGAAAAAGCACCGGCUAACUCCGUGCCAGCAGCCGCGGUAAUUC